rnacentral:rRNA from 1 species
UGAACGCUGGCGGCGUGCCUAAUACAUGCAAGUCGAGCGAACAGACGAGGAGCUUGCUCCUCUGACGUUAGCGGCGGACGGGUGAGUAACACGUGGAUAACCUACCUAUAAGACUGGGAUAACUUCGAGAAACCGGAGCUAAUACCGGAUAAUAUAUUGAACCGCAUGGUUCAAUAGUGAAAGACGGUUUUGCUGUCACUUAUAGAUGGAUCCGCGCCGCAUUAGCUAGUUGGUAAGGUAACGGCUUACCAAGGCAACGAUGCGUAGCCGACCUGAGAGGGUGAUCGGCCACACUGGAACUGAGACACGGUCCAGACUCCUACGGGAGGCAGCAGUAGGGAAUCUUCCGCAAUGGGCGAAAGCCUGACGGAGCAACGCCGCGUGAGUGAUGAAGGUCUUCGGAUCGUAAAACUCUGUUAUUAGGGAAGAACAAAUGUGUAAGUAACUAUGCACGUCUUGACGGUACCUAAUCAGAAAGCCACGGCUAACUACGUG